rnacentral:lncRNA from 1 species
GGAUUUUUGAGAAGACAACAUUUGAAGAAUUCCACUCAUCUCAAAGAGAAGUUUCUCCCUCAGCUAUAUAUGAAGUCUUGUCCUCUGCUGCAUUUUCACCUCUUCCACUGGUUUGGGACUUUUGGAACUGCUACAAUUUUUCUGAACCUUGAAUCCCUGGAGAUUCUAAUGUGCAUUUGGAUUCCUUCCUCGGAGUGACUGAAAUCAAGUAAAGUAUUAUUGAUUUUAAUGAUAGACUUAUACAAAUAUAACAUGAUU